AGACCAAGUUGGAGUAUCGAUACGAUCAGACACCGUUGUAGUUCCAACCACAAACGUGAGCCGACUGUCUGUGGGGCGGGU
rnacentral:rRNA from 1 species